UGGCGGGCGGGUGAGUAAUGUCUGGGAAACUGCCCGAUGGGGGGGGAUAACUACUGGAAACGGUAGCUAAUACCGCAUAACGUCGCAAGACCAAAGAGGGGGACCUUCGGGCCUCUUGCCAUCGGAUGUGCCCAGAUGGGAUUAGCUAGUAGGUGGGGUAACGGCUCACCUAGGCGACGAUCCCUAGCUGGUCUGAGAGGAUGACCAGCCACACUGGAACUGAGACACGGUCCAG
rnacentral:rRNA from 1 species